AGAGUUUGAUCCUGGCUCAGAUUGAACGCUGGCGGCAGGCUAACACAUGCAAGUCGAGCGGAUGACGGGAGCUUGCUCCUUGAUUCAGCGGCGGACGGGUGAGUAAUGCCUAGGAAUCUGCCUGGUAGUGGGGGACAACGUUUCGAAAGGAACGCUAAUACCGCAUACGUCCUACGGGAGAAAGCAGGGGACCUUCGGGCCUUGCGCUAUCAGAUGAGCCUAGGUCGGAUUAGCUAGUUGGUGGGGUAAUGGCUCACCAAGGCGACGAUCCGUAACUGGUCUGAGAGGAUGAUCAGUCACACUGGAACUGAGACACGGUCCAGACUCCUACGGGAGGCAGCAGUGGGGAAUAUUGGACAAUGGGCGAAAGCCUGAUCCAGCCAUGCCGCGUGUGUGAAGAAGGUCUUCGGAUUGUAAAGCACUUUAAGUUGGGAGGAAGGGCAGUAAGCUAAUACCUGCUGUUUUGACGUUACCGACAGAAUAAGCACCGGCUAACUCUGUGCCAGCAGCCGCGGU
rnacentral:rRNA from 1 species